rnacentral:rRNA from 1 species
GCAUGUCUCAGUAUAAGUCAUUUUACGACCAAACUGCGAAUGGCUCAUUAAAACAGUUAUAGUUUCUUUGCUGGUCAAUCGUUAUACGGAUAACUGUGGUAAUUCUAGAGCUAAUACGUGCACAAAGACCCGACUUCACGGAAGGGUUGCAUUCAUUAGAUACAGAACCAUCCCCUUCGGGGUUUUGGAUGAUCCAUAAUGAAUGAGCGGAGCGCAUGGCUUGUGUCGGCGCUGUAGCAUUCAAGUUUCUGACCUAUCAGCUUUCGACGGUAGGGUAUUGGCCUACCGUGGCAUUGACGGGUAACGGAGAAUUAGGGUUCGAUUCCGGAGAGGGAGCCCGAGAAACGGCUACCACAUCUAAGGAAGGCAGCAGGCGCGCAAAUUACCCAAUCCUGAUUUAGGGAGGUAGUGACAAGAAAUAACAGUGCUGUUCUCUUUGAGAAUAUGCAUCUGGAAUGAUUUGCAUGUAAAUAUCGCUUGGACUAUCAAUUGGAGGGCAAGUCUGGUGCCAGCAGCCGCGGUAAUUCCAGCUCCAUUAGUGUAUAUUAAAGUUGUUGCGGUUAAAAAGCUCGUAGUUGGAUUUCUGUUGGGUAUCGCGUGGUCUGCUCCUCGAGUACGUAUCUGCGUCGAUCCUGGCAUCCUCGCAACGCUCUGUGGCAUUAAUUUGCUGCUUGGCUUGCGACUUUUACUUUGAGGAAAUUAGAGUGUUCACGGCAGGCAUUUGCUUUGAAUAUAUUAGCAUGGAAUAAUAACAUAGGACUUCGGUUUUAUUUUGUUGGUUUCUAAGGCUGAAGUAAUGAUUAAUAGGGACAAUUGGGGGCACUCGUACAAAUCCGU